rnacentral:rRNA from 1 species
AGUCGAACGAAGCACUUGAAUGGAAUUCUUCGGAAGGGAGCUCAAGUGACUGAGUGGCGGACGGGUGAGUAACGCGUGGGUAACCUGCCUCAUACAGGGGGAUAACAGUUAGAAAUGACUGCUAAUACCGCAUAAGCACACGUGAUCGCAUGAUCGAGUGUGAAAAACUCCGGUGGUAUGAGAUGGACCCGUGUCUGAUUAGCUAGUUGGUGGGGUAAUGGCCCACCAAGGCGACGAUCAGUAGCCGGCCUGAGAGGGUGAACGGCCACAUUGGGACUGAGACACGGCCCAAACUCCUACGGGAGGCAGCAGUGGGGAAUAUUGCACAAUGGGGGAAACCCUGAUGCAGCGACGCCGCGUGAAGGAUGAAGUAUUUCGGUAUGUAAACUUCUAUCAGCAGGGAAGAAAAUGACGGUACCUGACUAAGAAGCCCCGGCUAACUACGUGCCAGCAGCCGCGGUAAUACGUAGGGGGCAAGCGUUAUCCGGAUUUACUGGGUGUAAAGGGAGCGUAGACGGCAGUGCAAGUCUGAAGUGAAAGCCCGGGGCUCAACCCCGGGACUGCUUUGGAAACUGUGCAGCUAGAGUGUCGGAGAGGCAAGCGGAAUUCCUAGUGUAGCGGUGAAAUGCGUAGAUAUUAGGAGGAACACCAGUGG